UUCACCGAACAGUAGCUGGUUGACUUCGGGUCAAAUCGACAAAUAUUUGCAAAGAUAUUUCCUUUGAGAAAUCAUUUGGUCCCCUUCAACCAGCUGUGGACGGUUGAUUGA
rnacentral:pre_miRNA from 20 species